rnacentral:misc_RNA from 1 species
GAAAUGCGAUAAGUAGUGUGAAUUGCAGAAUUCAGUGAAUCAUCGAAUCUUUGAACGCACAUUGCGCCCCUUGGUAUUCCAUGGGGCAUGCCUGUUCGAGCGUCAUUUGUACCCUCAAGCUCUGCUUGGUGUUGGGUGUUUGUCCCAUUCUUGCAUGUGGACUCGCCUUAAAGCAAUUGGCAGCCGGCAUAUUGGCCUUGGAGCGCAGCACAUUUUGCGCUUCUAGUCAUGAAUGUUGGCAUCCAUUAAGCCUAUAUUUUUGCUCUUGACCUCGGAUCAGGUAGGGAUACCCGCUGAACUUAA